rnacentral:rRNA from 1 species
CUACGGCAGCAGCGCGUAUACGUAGUGCGAGCGUAUCGGAUUCUGCUUAAGCUGGCAGCGUGAUGUAGACAGUUUGAAAUCCCGGCUCACUGGAUUGCAUCUGGACUGCAUCGCUAGAGUACGGUAGAGGGGAUGAAUUCGGUGUAGCAGUGAAUGCGUAGAUAUGCGGAGGAACACGAUGGCGAAGCAAUCCCUGGACUGUACUGACGCUCAUGCACGAAAGCGUGGGGAGCAACAGGAUUAGAUACCCUGGUAGUCCACGCCCUAAACGAUGUCAACUGGUUGUUGGGUGCAUUAGUACUUCAGUAACGAAGCUAACGCGUGAAGUUGACCGCCUGGGGAAGUACGGCCGCAAGGUUGAAACUCCAAAGGAAAUUGACGGGGGCCUGCACAAAGCGGUGGAGCAUGUUGGUUUAAUUCGAAAGCAACGCGCCAGGAACCCUUACCCAGCGUUUGACAUCGCAGGACGAUUUCCAGAGGAUGGAUUUCCUUUCUCGCAAGAGACUUGCAGACAGGUGCUGCAUGGCUGUCGUCAGCUCGUGUCGUGAGAUGUUGGGUUAAGUCCCGCAACGAGCGCAACCCUCGCCUUUAGUUACCAUCAUUUAGUUGGGGACUCUAAAGGAACCGCCGGUGAUAAGCCGGAGGAAGGUGGGGAUGACGUCAAGUCCUCAUGGCCCUUACGCGCUGGGCUACACACGUGCUACAAUGGCGGUGACAAUGGGUCGCAAACCCGCAAGGGUGCGCUAAUCUCAAAAAGCCGUCUCAGUUCGGAUUGUUCUCUGCAACUCGAGAGCAUGAAGGCGGAAUCGCUAGUAAUCGCGGAUCAGCAUGCCGCGGUGAAUACGUUCCCAGGCCUUGUACACACCGCC